GUUUUAAACACUACGUCUGAUGUGCAGUUGGACUACUAGCUGGCCAUAGAUACCAGAUUGCAAUAUAAAGGCAAGCGUCUCAGGCUGGAUCAAGGGGACCAAAGUGUGAUUUGAGACCUCAUGGAUCUGUUGGAAGAAAAUGAAUCAGUGGAAUAUCUGGAAUCUAAAGUAUAUCGGAAAACAAGUGCGAUCAAAAGUCUUCCUCACUAUUCCUCCUUUCAUCACCUCCAUACGCUACAAGGCAUACCAACUGGACAAUUUCUUCGGUUAACCUGUAUGGCUUUAGGAUCAUUUUAUCUAUGGACCCAUUUGAAACCUUGUUCCUAUACAGACAAGACUGGAGGAAUUUGAUACACAUACUGGCGAUGAUGUCCUCCAACACGUGUCAUGUAUCACCGGCCUUGGCCUUCUUCG